rnacentral:lncRNA from 1 species
AUCCUACUUUUGUUAAUAUGACUGAGCCUGCAAUGCCAAUGGUAGGCAUCUGUGACAUUAUCUAAUUUUAGAUGUUUAUUUGGAGUGUACAUUACUCAUAGGUUGUGACAAUACAUAGAUACCAUUUCUUAAUUAUCCUCGCAUUAUUGUUACAUUAUUCAUAAUGGUAUCACAAUAAUAUUUUUUAUUGAUAAACUAUAACCAUCUUUGGCCA